rnacentral:rRNA from 2 species
AUAUGCGUAAGCAUGAUCCAGCGAACUGAUGGAAAUGAAGAAGGCGACUAUUGCUGUAAAGUUUAGUGCGGACCCUAACAAACUGAGUAGUGGUCAGGAGAAGCUCUGGCUAAUACAUGUGCCAGCAGCCGCGGUAAUACAUGAGGAGUAAGCGUUAUCUACAUUGACUGAGUGUAUUAAGUACGUAGGGGUUUAAAAUACUUUUAAAGUUACGAAGUUUUUUUGUAUACAACAUUUAAAAUAUUUUAUAAUUUAAUUUUUUAAAAGAUGACAAGAUUUAUAGAACAGCGAUUAAAUGCAGUUACACUAUAGAGCUUGCCGCAAGCGAAGGCAAUCAUCUUUAAAUUAUUGAACCUGAUGUACGAAAGUAUGGAGAUCGAGAAGGAGUAGUUGCCCUAGUAGUCCAUACUGUAAACGAUGAAUACUUUAUGACGAAAGUCAGGAAUAGCUAACGCAAAGUAUUCUACUUGGGGAGUAUUAUCGCAAGAUUGAAACUUAACUGAAUUGGCGGGAAU